rnacentral:rRNA from 1 species
AACGUAGGAGGCGAGCGUUAUCCGGAUUUACUGGGCGUAAAGCGCGUGUAGGCGGUUUCAUAAGUCGGGCGUGAAAGCUCCCUGGCUCAACCGGGAGAGGUCGUGCGAUACUGCGAAACUUGAGUCAGGCAGAGGCAAGUAGAAUUCCGGGUGUAGUGGUGAAAUGCGUAGAUAUCCGGAGGAAUACCAGUGGCGAAGGCGACUUGCUGGGUCUGUACUGACGCUCAGACGCGAAAGCAUGGGGAGCGAACGGG